GCGGGGGGGGGGCAGUUAGGGGACCUUCCCAAUGGACGAAAGUCUGAUGGAGCAACGCCGCGUGAGUGAAGAAGGGUUUCGGCUCGUAAAACUCUGUUGUUAAAGAAGAACAUAUCUGAGAGUAACUGUUCAGGUAUUGACGGUAUUUAACCAGAAAGCCACGGCUAACUACGUGCCAGCAGCCGCGGUAAUACGUAGGUGGCAAGCGUUGUCCGGAUUUAUUGGGCGUAAAGCGAGCGCAGGCGGUUUUUUAAGUCUGAUGUGAAAGCCUUCGGCUCAACCGAAGAAGUGCAUCGGAAACUGGGAAACUUGAGUGCAGAAGAGGACAGUGGAACUCCAUGUGUAGCGGUGAAAUGCGUAGAUAUAUGGAAGAACACCAGUGGCGAAGGCGGCUGUCUGGUCUGUAACUGACGCUGAGGCUCGAAAGUAUGGGUAGCAAACAGGAUUAGAUACCCUGGUAGUCCAUACCGUAAACGAUGAAUGCUAAGUGUUGGAGGGUUUCCGCCCUUCAGUGCUGCAGCUAACGCAUUAAGCAUUCCGCCUGGGGAGUACGGCCGCAAGGCUGAAACUCAAAGGAAUUGACGGGGGCCCGCACAAGCGGUGGAGCAUGUGGUUUAAUUCGAAGCUACGCGAAGAACCUUACCAGGUCUUGACAUACUAUGCAAAUCUAAGAGAUUAGACGUUCCCUUCGGGGACAUGGAUACAGGUGGUGCAUGGUUGUCGUCAGCUCGUGUCGUGAGAUGUUGGGUUAAGUCCCGCAACGAGCGCAACCCUUAUUAUCAGUUGCCAGCAUUAAGUUGGGCACUCUGGUGAGACUGCCGGUGACAAACCGGAGGAAGGUGGGGAUGACGUCAAAUCAUCAUGCCCCUUAUGACCUGGGCUACACACGUGCUACAUGGAUGAGUACAACGAGUUGCGAACUCGCGAGAGUAAGCUAAUCUCUUAAAGCCAUUCUCAGUUCGGAUUGUAGGCUGCAACUCGCCUACUGAAGUCGG
rnacentral:rRNA from 2 species